rnacentral:rRNA from 1 species
UACGUAGGUGGCAAGCGUUGUCCGGAAUUAUUGGGCGUAAAGCGCGCGCAGGUGGUUUCUUAAGUCUGAUGUGAAAGCCCACGGCUCAACCGUGGAGGGUCAUUGGAAACUGGGGAACUUGAGUGCAGGAGAGAAGAGUGGAAUUCCACGUGUAGCGGUGAAAUGCGUAGAGAUGUGGAGGAACACCAGUGGCGAAGGCGACUCUUUGGGCCUGUAACUGACACUGAGGC